GGUGGUGGUUUAACUUUACAAUGCUUUCACAUCUAACCUACUCAUAAAUGGGCGGUGAGGUUUGGGCCCCAAAAUCUGAAAUGGGAGAAGCAAGCACCUGGGUGCUUUCUUGGCCUUUAUUAUUGCCUUUCUUCAUUAUGCUGCAUUACUUUUCAAAUUCCACCGAAGAUGGUUGAAGAAGUUGGCGGGGGAUUCCAAGUGAAGAAGUGGGGGGUUAUUCCCCCUAACAGGAGAUCUGUGAAAAGGAUGAUGUUCCAUAAAUUUCUCAUCUCUGUCUCUUCUCUUUUCCACGCCUGCUGCCACCCUGUUGUUCACUCUAAGAAUUGUUGUUCCAAGCAUACCAGGAUUUUCGCAACAAAAAUACGAUCACCCCACUAGCCAUAUAUUAUUAAUAGCAACCAACUAUGUGUGCGAAAUAUAUGCUAUAGGCCAUCAUAUCAUAGACACCACAUAGAGGUGUUUUAAUGUUAGUUCCUCUUAUCCUCAAUACACUUUCACUCUACUUCUACUAUUCAAGAAACGUGUAUAUAUAUAUAUAAUAGACUCAAGAAUUCCGCGAUCUCUAAGCUCAACUCCUGGAGCAUUGAGUUGAAGUACAGAAAAGAUAAUAAGUUGGUUGGUUACGACAGCCACUCCGGAGUGCAUAAAUUACUUUCAGGAAGUUACUGUCUAGAACUUGACUGGCUACCCAAGUCUUAAUUAAAAGGGAAAUCUUUUUCUUCUAGCUUAGAUUGCCUAUAUCCAUUACUACAUUGUCUUUUCUUCUUGUUUUGAAGCUUUUGCGAUGUAAUUUCUACCAUAGUUUCCUGCUUUUCAUUGAGUACAUCAAUCAAGUUUCACUUGUCAUGAAA